CCUAUCACAUGCUUACAUGUCUGAGUGAUAACUCUACCCCUGUGGAUCUGGAAUCUAAAAAGAUGGAAACAUUCGGAGUGAAUUUGGGAUCUCCUGGGAGCUUCACGGAUGGGACACAUGUUUACUAUUUAGUUCUCCUUUACUAAUCCUAAUCCUGUGGAUCAACCUUUCAAGGUCAUCCUUAGGGGAGAAUAUCCUCUAUUCUCUAUUCCCCAGCCAGAAGAUGGGAAGAGAAUGACACAAGAAAAGAUGAGCCCCACACAUGACUCAGUCUGCUUCCAAGUCUGAAUCUGAAGCUAUGAAGACAAAGGAAGUGGGCAUUAUGGACUUUGUGGGAGAUCCUAACCAAGGGGGUAGUGAGCCAUCUUGGUAGAAGGAAGUGUGGAAGGGAGCAGCCCUGGUUCUGGGAACAACCAACACCAGUUGCUUUCUGUUACACUAAUGGAAAGUAACAUACAUAAUAAACGGGAGACAGAUCCCAUGGUACAUCAAGAAACUACUGCUCGAGGGGAAAAAUAUAUUCUCUUCAGCCACCAAAGCUUCUGUCUCACAUAAUAGAUGGGCGUAAAGAUGAGAACAAAACAAUAGCAGAAAGGAAGGCAGACACUGUUGAUGACAAACAGACCAAUGAAAAUACUGCAGAAGUCAUCGUCAUUGAUACAGAGAGGAGAAGCUUGUCAAGAGUACUUUUCACAGAGUAAGCCACUGUCCCUGAAGAGAUUUUAAGGGAUAAGGAAGGCACUUGAAGGAGAGAGUGCAUAACAGCUGCUAGAGCAGGAGCUAGUCAUGUGAUCAUGCCUAUGAAUGAGACCAGGAAAUGAAACCAUCUCUCCACAGAGCCCUGUCCAGUGCAAAAAGCAAACAAACUGAAGAGAGAGGAAAAAAUAAUCAUUGCCUAAUCCCUCUCUAAUGUUCAGUGAUCUGUGCAGUUACUUGUGAAACUUCUGCAAUAUGGCCAAUCCCAAACAUCCAAA